CGGUCAAGUGUUCAUCUUAGAUUGUGGUUCAUAAAAAAUAAAAGAAGAGUUAGUUGUCAUAGAAAUAAGGGACCGGGAAAAUAAGGGACUGGGAAGCCUAUAACUAUAUAUCAUGCACCUUUUAUAUAGCAACUUUUGUAUUUCUCCAUAGCUAUUAGCUUAUUUUUCCUGUAUCAAGUUUGUUUUUUUUUUUUUUAAGAAUGUUAAUGUUCCAACAUUAUCGCCUUUUAAUAAUUUCUUUGCUAGGUUGUGUUUGAAACAUUUAGUUUUAAAGUGGGCAGUUAGCUUUGUUCAUGCUUUUUUUUUUUCCUACCUUUUGCCUUGUAGUAAACAGCUAAAAAAAAAGGGAAAAAAAAUACAUUAAUGUUUAUCUUACUACUUUAUUUAAUUGAGUGAAAUUUGUAAUUGUUCAGUGUUUCACCGAUGAUAAGCUCCACGAUGGUUAGAGAAGCUUUUGAUUAUAUGUGUAUUUUGAGCCAUGGUUUGGACUAUGUAGGCAUUAAGACCUCAAUUGGCUAAUUGUUCCAUAGCUUUUUAUAGUUGCAUGCUCUUCUCCACCCGUUUGUGCCUUUGUGGUGAUGCAUGCCUUGAUGGCGAGUGUUGGAGGGGCUAUUAGAAACCAAUAUUUUUUACAUAACCUUCUUUCUGUAUACUUGGUUUUCUAUAUAUGAGCUCUACAUAUUUGUUUUUUACUUUCCGUGUGCCUUUAAACUUUUAGUAGUGUAGUUGGCAUGCUUUCCUUUUUUAUGGCAUUAUUGAACAUUUUUUUCCCUACCUUUGAUGUCACUGAUGGGUUGUUUCUUGCAUUGAUGUUAGGCUUCUAAUUGCCCAGUUGCUUUAUUGCUUUUUAUCAAUUUGGGUAUUCCAUCCUAAACCUUUGUUGAAUAAUUAACUAUGUUACUUUUUUUUUCGCUACUGUUGUUUUUUAGCCUUGCCUACUAUUGUCACGUGAUGUUUUGAUCACCACUUGAGUCUUUUGACAACAAGUAUUUUUUACAAUUUAUUUUUACCUCUAUUUUCUUGAUCUUUUGUGGGUUCUGAUUUAUGAUUUAAUCUUCACUACAUUCAAAUAUUAAAAGCAAUUAAUUUGUGGUUAUAUUUUUACUACUUUUGACCAAUUUGAGUAUUUGUUUUGAUAACGCUAGGCUUUUGAUAACAAGUAUCUUUUCUAGCUUUUGCUAACUGCACUUUGUGCAAAUGUAAUAUAUGGAAACCUUGAGUUGCGGUGCUAACUUUGAUCUAAAGGAUCAAAGAGAAGUUUGGAUUAAAUGUAUAUCAUUCCCGAGUGAUUUGGAUGUGUGGGAAUGAAUUCCGGAGAUAAAUGAGUGUUUCGGCGCAAAUUGGGCGCGAAAUGAAAUGUAAAAAAGGGAUUUUCGGAUUAUGAUGCUAACUUUGAUCUAUGCGAUCAAAGUGGGAUAUGAAUGUUAAUUGUAGUAUCUCCGAAUUAUUUUGGAAGUGCGAGGAUAGUUAAUGGCAAAAUUCAGAGAUGCUUGGAUGUAAAAAAUGUCGAAUUUUAACUACGUAGCUAAUUGUGAUCAAAUUGAUCACAAUAAUGCUAAUAUGAAAAUUAAUUGCUUCCAAAUUAAAUUGGCAGCUUGUGAAGGUUCAUGAGUAUAAUUUGGAAGUGAUUAGACGUGUUCGAAGCGAACUAGACGCGCAAAAAGGCCUCAAUUUGCUGCUGCCAGGCUAAGGUGUAGUGCAGGGACUGAAUUGCGAAUCUGCAGGGACUGAAUUGCGAACUGCUGGACUGCAAUGCAGUUUCAGCAUUUUGAGGGAUUAAGUAGCAGUUUGUUGAGCUUAUCACUUCACCCCUGCUGACCUGAGCAUGUCCACGUAUUAGGGACCUUCUCCCACAACCUUUUCUCAUCUCUUUCUUUCUCUUUAUCUCUCUGAAACCCUAGGUGAGCUCAAUGAUGGAAACUAGUGUGGAGCUGAAAUUCUUGGUGUCUUGAGCUGAGAAGAGGAGAUUGGAGCUGAGAAGUUUCUUAGUGGAGCCUCAAAUUCAGUUUAAGGUGGCUGUGAAGGAGAGGUUGGAGGAGUAGAAUUUUGGAGUGGACUUCUUUGCUGUUGGAGCUGAAAGGAAAGUUUUGGAGCUAAGAAAUCCCUUGGGGAAGCUUCAAAUCCACGUAAGCUAGGUUUAAUAUCCAAUUAUAAUAAAAGUAAUUGCCUUAGAGAUGAUCUACAAAGGGAUGCUUGGCUGCUAGAGUUGGCAGGUUGAGUAUAUAAGGGCUGUGAAGAAAGUUAGUUAAGGAGAAAGUGAAACAAGUGCAGAUUAUGAUGCACCAAGCUGAAAAGAAAGCUUUAGAAAGCUAAGAACAACCUGAUAGAACAUCAAAUUUAAGUGCACUGUGAGGAGCAAAUUGGUGGAGCAGAUUUCAGCAUUGAAGUUCUUAUUAUUAGAGCGGAUUGAGCAACAAAUUGAGGAUUGAAGUCCCAGCGGGGAAUUGGUCGUGUAUAAACCUAAUUUAGAGUAAAGUAGACGCGUUGGAAAGCUCGGAUCGAUGUUCCGACAAGCCGACGGCAAGCUAGCGAGGAAAAUCUCAUUAUAGCUCAAGUUGUCGCGCGCAAGGAUUGCGGUCGUCCAUUAAGUGCGGGAAACAGAUUUCUUACAUUCCGGUAUAAACUAAAGAUUUACACGUGAGCGGCGCGAGGACAGGGCGUAGCUCCGUAGAUAGCGCCCUACCACUGAGACCGAGAUAGCAAUACCCUGAAGUGGUCUAGCUCAGAGUUCAGAAUGAAAGUAACAAACUUGUAGUAAAUUGUAUAAGUUGUAAUAACUUAAAGGCUUAUGUAAUAUUGUAAAUGUAAGAUCUUUGAGAUGAAUGCUUGUAAUAGCAUAGUAGCCUUCUAUGUUUUUGAUACUUA